rnacentral:misc_RNA from 1 species
CCAUUCCCAUAGACCAUCAUGACCGAUACAGCGGCACCGCGGCAGGUUGCCUGCCAGGGAUGCAGCACGCAGACCACAACGGCCUUCCAGUGCCCGCUGUGUCAAGCAGAGGCAACAGCGGAUUGCGGCUUCUUCUGCACUCAGGAGUGCUUCGCCAAGAACUGGCUUAAGCACCGCAACACCCUCCACAAGAGCGGCGUGGUGCGGAAGACGAAGCGUAUGCCAGCUGACGCUGCGGCUGCCGCCCCUGCAGGGACCACGGAGAAGGGCCGCCAGGCGCGUGGCGGUAAGCGUUCCCGCGCAGCUGAUGAGGCUGCCAGCGGCACGGGUAAAGACACAUGCGCCGAUAAGAAGGCCGCCGCUGGUGGAACGCUUGCCCCCUGGCCGCCACUGCCCAACGCGGCGGUGUGCAAGAAGAACAACUGGGCACAGGUCACCCCGGAGCUGCCGCUCGAUGUGCCCCGCGCAGUCGUGCGCCCUGUCGUGACGGAGGCUGCGAAGGGCAGCGCCGAACAGCCGCUUCAGCGCUGCAUGUGGCCUGCCAUGCUGGCUGCCGCGCAGUACGUGGCGUUGUCUGCGCAGCGCAAUACGGCGCCGUCGGCCGUGCAGGUGCUGGUCGUGGCCGGAGACGUGCAGAGCGCCCACGCUUUCGCGUGGGCAGCGCGGUGUGUGGGUCUCGCCGGUACGCUGCAGCUCGCUGUCUCAGAGCAGCCAGCCCAAUCAAGCGUCGCCGCCGCCACUAAAAACAGCAGCAGCAACACUGCGAGCACUGCUGCCGCCACGGCGGCAUCACCCUCCCGCUACUUCACCUCCCAUCGGUGUAUCGUCAUUGCCACGUCGGCGGUGGUGCGUGCCUCGGCACUGGCUCGAACGUCGUCGUCGACGGCGGUGAGCGGCGCCGCGUCGUUGUGGCUGACCGGAGCGCCGUCGCACUCCCUGCUGGUUACUCUCCCAGACGUCGUGGAUGCAGAGGAUCUGCAAGGGGUGCAGACCCGAGCCGUCUUCUUCACAGGGCCGGCCGGCCCUACAAGCGACGAUGCGGCGAAGGACGAUGGCAAUGAUGGCGUGGUGUCGUACACCUACACCUCACUCGAGGUGCUGUGCGAGGAUAGGCAGCCGCUCUGCUGGAAGCCAGCAGCGCUGUCCGCCCCGGGGUCCUCGACCCCGAGCAGCAGCACUGCUGGGAACGGCGGCGCAGCAGCGGCGGCUGCCUCAUGUUUGGACGAUGAAGUCUGCACGUGCUUCGCCAACGGCGACAUGGCUGCUGCGCUUCAGCGGCUCGUCCGCUGCUACCAGCAUCAGCCGGGGCACCUAGAGUCGAAGCUCUACUACACGCUGUGCUGCAACUGGGGCGCCGCCAGCCUCGUCCACGCGCAUCACCGCCUCGCGUACGUAGCUCGCUUCCUGUGUGACCGCUCCGUCCGCUUCGAGGCGCCCAAGAACGCAACCCUUGCCGACGCGGCGCUCCGCGCGAUAGCGGCCGUGUGCCGACUGCUGCCGCGCAUGGCGGAUGUCGAAGCCGAAGCAGCCGCAGCGGCGGCUAACGCAUCGGGCCAGGAGAGCGCCAGCGACGCCGCCAACAAGUCGAAGAAGCGCCGGCUGCACAAGAGCGAGGUGGCAGCAGCGGCGCCGUACGCGCCAUCCCUCGCCUCCACCACACGCCCCACGCCGGUCGUCGCCAGCGGCGUCAGUGCCCCCUCGGCGCAGGAGGUGGCCCGCUACGCGAACUACUACACCCACCUGCCCAACCUGCAGUUGCAGGCGACGGUGUGCCAUCUACACCCCAUCGCCUCCCCGGCCGUGCUCGACACCUUCGCCAUGGCGUGGGGACUGUACCGGUACCUCCCUGGCCCGAGCAGCCUCGACGGCGCCGAUCACGCCCGCAGCGCGGCCGUGCACCGUGUCCGGCAACGCUUCACGGCGAAGCUUGACAGCGCCAAUGGCGUCUUCUACGUCAUUCUCAUGCAUCUCAUAUACGAUGCCGUCGGCCCGUACUCGCUCCCGGUGGACGAGGUGAACCGCCGCCUGCAGUGGGAUCUGACCCUCGCCCACGACGCCGGGUCGCUGGAGGCGUACCUGCGUUGCUGUGGCCUCCUCGUGGCGGACGACGGCCUGCUGCUCCCCACGUCGAGCAAGCAGCGGGUGCGGAAGAUGAAGAAAGGCGGUCGUGCUGCAUCGGUGCCAGCAGUGCUAUCGAGCCGCCUGAAAGGGUCGCGCGAGACGACGCAGUCGCGAACGGAGCAGCUGCGCUGCUUCGCGGUCAAGUCGAUGGCCGGCACCGCCGGUGCCGCAGCUGUGGCGUCGAGCGGCAACUACGGCGUCAUUGAGCUCCCGUGGAAGACGUUCCCCAUCACGGGUGAGCGGCAGCGACAGGUGGCUCGCCUGCACCAGGCGGCCGUGGAGGAACUGCUGAUGGCGAUGCCACGCGUGCCACGUCCGAUGUACAUCGGCGACGUCGGCAACCUCAUCGGCAAGUGGAUGCACUUCAACUCGCGCUUCGAUGGCACCCUCGGCGUGAACCUUCAGGCCUUCCUCGAGCAGCACCCAGAGGCGUUCAAGGUGCUUGACAACAUAGUCACGCGACGCACGGCGGGUAAGACGGAGCAGGUUCGCAUCCGUUUCGACGGCGACGACGAGCAUGACAACGACGACAGCGACGAUGGCACCGACCGCGCCCGCAAAACGCGCGACCGCCAGCUGCUGACGGGGCAGAGGCUCUCCAAGAGCGGAGGGAAGGGCAUCGUCGAGCUGCCCGCGCGCGCGCGCAAGAAGCGCGCCAUCAAGGAGUUCAACAAGGAGCGGUUCAACCGCAACUACAAGUCGAUCGACCCCUCGGCGCGUGUACCGGGCUACAUCAAGCGUGGCCCGCGUCGCAUCAAGGGGCGUGGCAAGAAGGCGAACAAGCGUGGCGUGAAGCGCGGCGCGUAGCCUGCGCGCGUGUAAACGCAGGGAGUGGGGGGGGGGGGGGGGGGCAGGACACCGCAGCGGCGGUGGCAUGUGCGGAACGAGUAAAGUGCUGGAGCCUGUGGAAGGAGAGGAAGCAAGGUGAGAGGUGAAGGAAGGAAGAAAGGGAGGGAGGGACGGUUGCCAAGGAGCGUGGUGCUGCACGCACAAGCGCACGCAGCGGUCGCCCUGCCGCUGCAUCGCGACCGCUAUCACCCCUCCUUCGUGCCUUCUCUGAUCUCUAGCCUCGCUUCAGGCUGUAGCGCAGCGAUUAAGGCAGGAUAAAACACUAAAGAAGGGGCGCGGAGAAGGAAAUGCGCCGCACACGCACACAGGGCUGUGCAGAAUGGACAGACGGACGCAGGUGCGAGGCGGAGGGGCAGCAAGGCUCGUCGCCGCCCCCACCACCACCCUCCGUCGUGCGUGUGCACGCGUCCGUUCGUCUCUCAAUGGUUGAUUUUCGCUUUUUUGUGUGUAUGGCGCGUCUGCAGUGUUCGGUGUUGUUCCUCGUGUGCCGGUAACCUCACCACUCAACGCGCGAGGCGCUCGCCCUCGCUAAAGAGCGUCCCUGUGCGGAACGAAACAGGAAGCAGUGAUGGCG